rnacentral:lncRNA from 1 species
GGAAGGAAGUUGUUUUGAUAAUCACAGGUGCUAAACAGAGCAAGCCAAUUAUGUAUCACAUUGUCAGGAAAAGAAAAAGCAUGCUUGAAGGUAGAUAUGAGUUUUUCCAGGAAGCCUCUUUGAUCUGCAUGAUGAUUUUGUCCUUUAAACUCUCAAACUGUGAGCAAGCAACAUGAAAAUGACACUGGUGAGAUAUUUUUCAUCAUUUUCAGCAAUCAUUAUAGUUUAUCUCGUCUGUUUAUAUUAAUAACCCUUUGCAAUUCUGACACUGAAAUCUGUUUUUUCCGAAAAGCGUUCUCCUCUAUCACCCAUGCACAAACACCCGGUUAAUGGGAGGCUGCUAAUAGGGAAAUUAGCUUUUUUCCCCCUCCCCCCUCAUCUUUUUCUUUCUUUCUUUCUUUUUUUUUUUUUACACCAGCAAAAGAGAUGAGGCAGGCUGUCUUGAGGAAUUUGUGAAAGGAUACUCAGCACUAGAAGUGGCUGAAAGAUGUCUGGGGUUUGUAUUCCACAGCCUGAGCCUCACAGCCAUAAGGUUGAUCCUGGAAUUGUACAUUUUUCAUGGAAGGAACUAAUUACUACAGUGCUUUUACUAUGCUCUGGUGAUCCAUCAUUUGCCUUUCUUUGGCUGCUCCAAUGCAAAUCGUUGUCAUUGUUAUGACAGUGUGCCUGAAAGAAGAAAUUAUCAUCUCGGGUAAAAAGAGAAAUUCAGAACUUGGAGUUUGAGUCUAGAAGUAGAGCUUUACAGCUGCUUUGCACUCAAGAGUUUGAAACACAGUCUUUGGUGGAAGAUUCCAAGACAGGUUUCUCUCAUUUGCAGUGGAGCAGUGGGACACACUACAUAUCAUAGAAUCAUAGAAUGGCCUGGGUUGAAAAGGACCUCAAAGAUCAUCAAGUCUCAACCUCCCCUGCUAAGUGCAGGGUCACCAACCACUAGACCAGGCUGCCCAGAGCCACGUCCAGUCUGGCCUUGAAUGCCUCCAGGGACGGGGCAUCCACAACCUCCCUGGGCAACCUGUUCCAGUGUGUCACCACCCUCUGUGAAA